rnacentral:misc_RNA from 1 species
GAUGAAGAACGUAGCGAAAUGCGAUAAGUAAUGUGAAUUGCAGAAUUCAGUGAAUCAUCGAAUCUUUGAACGCACAUUGCGCCCGCCAGUAUUCUGGCGGGCAUGCCUGUUCGAGCGUCAUUUCAACCAUCAAGCCCCCGGCUUGUGUUGGGGACCUGCGGCUGCCGCAGGCCCUGAAAUGCAGUGGCGGGCUCGCUGUCACUCCGAGCGUAGUAGUUACAUCUCGCUCUGGGCGUGCUGCGGGUUCCGGCCGUUAAAAGCCUUAUUUACCCAAGGUUGACCUCGGAUCAGGUAGGAAGACCCGCUGAACUUAAGCAUAUCAAUAAGCGGGGA